rnacentral:rRNA from 1 species
CAAUAGCGUAUAUUAAAGUUGUUGCGGUUAAAAAGCUCGUAGUUGGAUUUCUGCUGAGAACGACCGGUCCGCCCUUUGGGUGUGUAUCUGGCUCUUUCUUGGCAUCUUCUUGGUGAACGUUGCUGCACUUGACUGUGUGGAGCGCUACCCAGGACUUUUACUUUGAGGAAAUUAGAGUGUUUCAAGCAGGCAUACGCCUUGAAUACAUUAGCAUGGAAUAAUAAGAUAGGACCUCGGUUCUAUUUUGUUGGUUUCUAGAGCUGAGGUAAUGAUUAAUAGGGAUAGUUGGGGGCAUUCGUAUUUAACUGUCAGAGGUGAAAUUCUUGGAUUUGUUAAAGACGGACUACUGCGAAANGANNNGCCAAGGAUGUUUACAUNGA